AUUGAACGCUGGCGGCAUGCUUUACACAUGCAAGUCGAACGGCAGCACGGGCUUCGGCCUGGUGGCGAGUGGCGAACGGGUGAGUAAUAUAUCGGAACGUACCCAGAAGUGGGGGAUAACGUAGCGAAAGUUACGCUAAUACCGCAUACGAUCUAUGGAUGAAAGCAGGGGACCGCAAGGCCUUGUGCUCCUGGAGCGGCCGAUAUCUGAUUAGCUAGUUGGUGAGGUAAAGGCUCACCAAGGCGACGAUCAGUAGCUGGUCUGAGAGGACGACCAGCCACACUGGAACUGAGACACGGUCCAGACUCCUACGGGAGGCAGCAGUGGGGAAUUUUGGACAAUGGGCGCAAGCCUGAUCCAGCAAUGCCGCGUGAGUGAAGAAGGCCUUCGGGUUGUAAAGCUCUUUUGUCAGGGAAGAAACGGUAGAGGCUAAUAUCCCUUGCUAAUGACGGUACCUGAAGAAUAAGCACCGGCUAACUACGUG
rnacentral:rRNA from 1 species